rnacentral:rRNA from 1 species
UCCGGAAAAUCAAGGCUGAGGCGUGAUGACGAGGCACUACGGUGCUGAAGCAACAAAUGCCCUGCUUCCAGGAAAAGCCUCUAAGCAUCAGGUAACAUCAAAUCGUACCCCAAACCGACACAGGUGGUCAGGUAGAGAAUACCAAGGCGCUUGAGAGAACUCGGGUGAAGGAACUAGGCAAAAUGGUGCCGUAACUUCGGGAGAAGGCACGCUGACACGUAGGUGAAGUGAUUUACUCAUGGAGCUGAAGUCAGUCGAAGAUACCAGCUGGCUGCAACUGUUUAUUAAAAACACAGCACUGUGCAAACACGAAAGUGGACGUAUACGGUGUGACGCCUGCCCGGUGCCGGAAGGUUAAUUGAUGGGGUCAGCGCAAGCGAAGCUCCUGAUCGAAGCCCCGGUAAACGGCGGCCGUAACUAUAACGGUCCUAAGGUAGCGAAAUUCCUUGUCGGGUAAGUUCCGACCUGCACGAAUGGCGUAAUGAUGGCCAGGCUGUCUCCACCCGAGACUCAGUGAAAUUGAACUCGCUGUGAAGAUGCAGUGUACCCGCGGCAAGACGGAAAGACCCCGUGAACCUUUACUAUAGCUUGACACUGAACAUUGAGCCUUGAUGUGUAGGAUAGGUGGGAGGCUUUGAAGUGUGGACGCCAGUCUGCAUGGAGCCGACCUUGAAAUACCACCCUUUAAUGUUUGAUGUUCUAACGUGGACCCGUUACCCGGGUUGCGGACAGUGUCUGGUGGGUAGUUUGACUGGGGCGGUCUCCUCCUAAAGAGUAACGGAGGAGCACGAAGGUUGGCUAAUCCUGGUCGGACAUCAGGAGGUUAGUGCAAUGGCAUAAGCCAGCUUGACUGCGAGCGUGACGGCGCGAGCAGGUGCGAAAGCAGGUCAUAGUGAUCCGGUGGUUCUGAAUGGAAGGGCCAUCGCUCAACGGAUAAAAGGUACUCCGGGGAUAACAGGCUGAUACCGCCCAAGAGUUCAUAUCGACGGCGGUGUUUGGCACCUCGAUGUCGGCUCAUCACAUCCUGGGGCUGAAGUAGGUCCCAAGGGUAUGGCUGUUCGCCAUUUAAAGUGGUACGCGAGCUGGGUUUAGAACGUCGUGAGACAGUUCGGUCCCUAUCUGCCGUGGGCGCUGGAGAACUGAGGGGGGCUGCUCCUAGUACGAGAGGACCGGAGUGGACGCAUCACUGGUGUUCGGGUUGUCAUGCCAAUGGCACUGCCCGGUAGCUAAAUGCGGAAGAGAUAAGUGCUGAAAGCAUCUAAGCACGAAACUUGCCCCGAGAUGAGUUCUCCCUGAGACUUAGAGUCUCCUGAAGGAACGUUGAAGACGACGACGUUGAUAGGCCGGGUGUGUAAGCGCAGCGAUGCGUUGAGCUAACCGGUACUAAUGAACCGUGAGGCUUAACCUUACAACGCCGAAG